rnacentral:rRNA from 1 species
AACGAACGCUGGCGGCAUGCCUAACACAUGCAAGUCGAACGAGACCUUCGGGUCUAGUGGCGCACGGGUGCGUAACGCGUGGGAACCUGCCCUUAGGUUCGGAAUAACUCCCCGAAAGGGGUGCUAAUACCGGAUAAUGUCUUCGGACCAAAGAUUUAUCGCCUUUGGAUGGGCCCGCGUUGGAUUAGCUAGUUGGUAGGGUAAAAGCCUACCAAGGCGACGAUCCAUAGCUGGUCUGAGAGGAUGAUCAGCCACACUGGGACUGAGACACGGCCCAGACGCAGACGUGAGGCAGCAGGGGGGAAGAGGGCAGAAUGGGCGGAAGACGGAUGCAGCAACGCCGUGGGCGGGAAGACGGCAGGCGGGUUGGAAACCGCAUGCGCCUGGGACGAAGCGGGAGGGAGCGUAAGGGGUAAAGAAGCACCGGCUAACUAAGUG